GAUCAUGGCUCAGGAUGAACGCUGGCGGCGUGCUUAACACAUGCAAGUCGAACGGGAAUUACUUUAUUGAAACUUCGGUCGAUUUAAUUUAAUUCUAGUGGCGGACGGGUGAGUAACGCGUGGGUAACCUGCCUUGUACAGGGGAUAACAGUCAGAAAUGACUGCUAAUACCGCAUAAGCGCACAGGACCGCAUGGCCCGGUGUGAAAAACUCCGGUGGUAUAAGAUGGACCCGCGUUGGAUUAGCUAGUUGG
rnacentral:rRNA from 1 species